rnacentral:lncRNA from 1 species
AAUAACAAACUCAGAUAAACUAAUUCCAUCAUAAUAUAUACAUGACUUGCUGUCAAAAAAAAAGAACUUUGGAACCAUGUAUUAAACCACUUACAAGUAUUAUCAAAAUCAACCAUAAGCCAAAUGAAAGAGCUUUGGAACCUUGUAUUUACCCUUAAGCUUGUAGAAAAGUUCUUCAUAUACAAGUGCCCCAAAUUCAAAGUAGUCCAUAAGCCAAAUGAAAGACCUUUGGAACCUUGUAUUUACCCUUAAGCUUGUAGGAAAGUUCUUCAUAUACAAGUGCCCCAAAUUCAAAGUAGUGUCUAGUGGAAAUAGAUUUACAUAAAAGCACUCCUGGAACCAAUAUCCAAAUGUCAAAUUCACUGCAAAAAUCAAAGUACUAUACAUGCAAGAUGCACAAAUUAAAUGAGCCAUGUUUCUAAAGUACUAGAACAUAAAUUUGACACAAUUUCUUACUUCAAUAAAAUUUGACAACAACUUAUAUGGUUAACAUUCUUAUUCCAAUCACAUUAAUAACUUCUUAGUUUCGUACAUCAACAAGUAUCUUAAACAAGCUUUAAUUGUAGUUGCAGCUGUAGGUGCCACCAUUAAAACAAAUCAAAAUCAUGAUUAAAACUAACUCAAAUAAGUUAAGCACAAAA